AUUGAACGCUGGCGGCAGGCCUAACACAUGCAAGUCGAGCGGAUGAAGGGAGCUUGCUCCUGGAUUCAGCGGCGGACGGGUGAGUAAUGCCUAGGAAUCUGCCUGGUAGUGGGGGAUAACGUCCGGAAACGGGCGCUAAUACCGCAUACGUCCUGAGGGAGAAAGUGGGGGAUCUUCGGACCUCACGCUAUCAGAUGAGCCUAGGUCGGAUUAGCUAGUUGGUGGGGUAAGGGCCUACCAAGGCGACGAUCCGUAACUGGUCUGAGAGGAUGAUCAGUCACACUGGAACGGAGACACGGUCCAGACUCCUACGGGAGGCAGCAGUGGGGAAUAUUGGACAAUGGGCGAAAGCCUGAUCCAGCCAUGCCGCGGGUGUGAAGAAGGUCUUCGGAUUGUAAAGCACUUUAAGUUGGGAGGAAGGGCAGUAAGUUAAUACCUUGCUGUUUUGACGUUACCAACAGAAUAAGCACCGGCUAACUUCGU
rnacentral:rRNA from 1 species